GAGGGAGUUGGCCGUGAGUGGCGCCGCCCACAAGGGGACGGGACGGGACGGGACUCCGGGCCGGGAGCUGCGAGCGGCGGCCCCGAUGGAGAUCUGUCUGGCCGGCAAACGGGCCCUGGUGACGGGCGCCGGCAAAGGGAUCGGGAGAGCAACUGUCAAAGCCCUGCUGGCGUGUGGAGCUGAAGUGAUUGCAGUGACCAGGACACAGUCUGACCUGGACAGCCUUGUGCAAGAGUGUCCCAAGAUACUGACAAUCUGUGCUGACCUGAGUAACUGGGAGGCCACAGAGAGGGCACUGAAGGACAUUGGUCGUGUGGAUCUCCUGGUGAACAAUGCAGCCGUUGCCCUAUUGGAGCCGUUCCUGGAGAUGACCCAGGGCGCAAUUGAUAAAUCAUUUGACAUUAAUGUGAAAGCUAUGAUGCAUGUUUCACAGAUUAUUGCAAAAGGGAUGAAGUGCCGUGGGGCCGGCGGGGCCAUUGUGAAUCUCUCCAGUCAGGCCUCCCAGUGUGCGCUGAAAGACCACGCCGUGUACUGUGCCACAAAAGGUGCUGUGGACAUGCUGACUAAAGUGAUGGCACUUGAACUGGGACCACACAAGAUACGAGUGAAUACAGUGAACCCCACUGUGGUGAUGACGGCCAUGGGCCGGAUCGGAUGGAGUGACCCGGCAAAGGCGUCAGGAAUGUUGUCCCGUAUCCCACUUGGCAGGUUUGCAGAAGUUGAAGAUGUGGUGAACACAAUCAUCUUCCUCCUCAGUGACAAGAGCGCUAUGAUCACAGGAACCGCUCUGCCUGUGGAUGGCGGGUUUCUUGCCUCCUGAGGCCAUCUGUGAGUAAAUGAGGGGUUUGUAAAAGCCGCUUGUAAUUUAGUCUUGAAUUAUAUGAAGUUGAGUCUGCAAUCAACUGAUUUUUCCUGAGGAAUCUAUGAGGAUGGAAAAUGAAAUACUAGAGGGUGUGGCUUUAAGGUGAAGGGGACAAAGUUUAAAGGUAUGGGGCAUGUUUAUUACAUGGUGGCGGGUGGGUGCCUGGAAUGUGCUGCUGGUUGAGACAGAUAUGUUGUGGCAUUUGAAAGGCUUUUGGACAGGCUCAUGGAUAUGCAGAGAAUGGAGCAGUAUGGGUUAUGGCAGGUAGAUAAGUGGUCUUGGCAUCAUGUUUGGCACUGACAUUGUGGGCAGAAGGGCCUGUUUCUGUGCUGUUCCAUGUUCUACGUGUAUGAUGAACAGACUUAUACCAGAACACAGCAGAUUUUUUAAAUUGUAGCUUUCUGCCCUUGAAUUGCUGCAUUUUACAUUUAUCUCAAUUGUCCUUACCUUUGCUGUACACUCAUUGUUAAAAAUCUUUCAUGUAGGGGAUUGAAUCAGCUUCCCUUUAGUUUGAAGCAGAGGUAUACAAAUUCUGAACGGUAAGAAACUAUCGCAGUGGCAGAAAUGUGUCACAUCAGAGGCACCAGUUAAAGGGUAAGGAACAAAGAGUUUCCAGAAGAUUCAGAAACAAGGAACUGCAGAUGGUUUACAAUAAAACACACAGUGCUGGAGUAAGUCAGCUGGCCAGGCAGCAUCUCUGGAGAAGAUGGAUGGGUGACGUUUAGGGACUGAUGUUCUCCCGCGAUGCUGCUUGACCCGCUAUGUUACUCCCGCACUUUUUGUUUUUUGUUUUACAUGAGAUUCACUUGUUUUUAAAAAUCCUUAAUGUAGAAGCCUCAUCUCCAGCACACUAAUUGGUUCCAAGAGUCAAAUGAAUCCCUUUUUUAAAUUAAUGCCUUGUAUUCUGGUUUGCUCUUCAGUCUCCAUUUCUCACUUGUUUCAAUUUAGCCGAGUCUUCCAUCCACACACUUUGAUUCAUUGCUGUGCUAUCAUUUUACAUUGAUUACUAACCCCUGCUCUCUGCACACUUCUCAUAAAUCCAGUCCUUGCAUCCACUUAACGCCCCUUUCAUCUAUCAAUGCUGAGCUCAUCUUUGCAUUUUUAUUGCCUGGACUUGCAUUUCUGGCCACCAAAAUGGUCUUCAUUAAUUUCCCCGACUCAUAAACUUCUAGCCCCAAUCACUUUAUUAUGUGAGUUUUCCUCGCUGUUAUCAGAAAACGUGAAAGUAGAAAGUGUUACAUUUAUAAUAAUGUUAUUUUCCUAAAUCUUCCCAGACUUUUGGGUUAUCUAUUUCUUUCACUAAUCGGGACAAGUAGUAUUGUCUUUUUCUUUUUAAUUCAUUGAUAUUUUCAAAAAUCUCCAUUGCUGGUACAAGCACAAAUUAUGAAGCAAUGUGAUCUGCCUCAAGGGAUGUUAGGAAGGAUUGGUAGACUUUUUUCAUUGUUCCACACUGUACUAUCCGACACCAUUAUGGUAAAGUCAAAGUCUGAAGGGUCCCAAACCAAAAUGUCACAUGUCCAUUCCCUCCGCAGGUGCUGACUGACCCGCUGGGUUACUCUAGCACUUUAGUGUUUUGCUCAAGAACCCAGCAUCUGCAGUUCCUUGUGUCUCCAGGGCAAAGUCAUGAUGGAACAUUUAAUUCUCCAAUUUUAGUGAAAUUGAUACGUGUGGCGAGAAGUGAGAAGUGGAGACUGAAGGACAAACCAGAAUACAAGGCACUUUGGUGCGUUUAUCUUUGGCUAACUAAAGGCAAUUCUACAGGGUCUAGUUAGCUUAGUUUUUU